rnacentral:sRNA from 1 species
CAACGAACGAAAGGAGGUGAUCCGGUGUCUCAUCGCAUCAAUCGGGCUGCAGCACCCGAGGCCCGGAUCACCGCCGCCGGCUGAGGCGGCGGGUCACCGAGGCUCCGCGGGCCGCAACCGGCCGCGCGAUGGGAAGGCCCCGGCGGGCGACCGCCGGGGCCU